AACUGGGUAGCUAGAGUAUGUCAGAGGGGGGUAGAAUUCCACGUGUAGCAGUGAAAUGCGUAGAGAUGUGGAGGAAUACCGACGGCGAAGNCAGCCCCCUGGGAUAAUACUGACGUUCAUGCUCGAAAGCGUGGGUAGCAAACAGGAUUAGAUACCCUGGUANUCCACGCCCUAAACGAUGUCGAUUAGCUGUUGGGCAACUUGAUUGCUUAGUAGCGUAGCUAACGCGUGAAAUCGACCGCCUGGGGAGUACGGCCGCAAGAUUAAAACUCAAAGGAAUUGACGGGGACCCGCACAAGCGGUGGAUGAUGUGGAUUAAUUCGAUGCAACGCGAAGAACCUUACCUGGUCCUGACAUGUACGGAAGAACUCAGAGACGAGUUUGUGCCUUCGGGAGCCGUAACACAGGUGCUGCAUGGCUGUCGUCAGCUCGUGUCGUGAGAUGUUGGGUUAAGUCCCGCAACGAGCGCAACCCUUGUCAUUAGUUGCCAUCAUUUAGUUGGGCACUCUAAUGAGACUGCCGGUGACAAACCGGAGGAAGGUGGGGAUGACGUCAAGUCCUCAUGGCCCUUAUGACCAGGGCUUCACACGUCAUACAAUGGUCGGUACAGAGGGUAGCCAAGCCGCGAGGUGGAGCCAAUCCCAGAAAACCGAUCGUAGUCCGGAUUGCACUCUGCAACUCGAGUGCAUGAAGUCGGAAUCGCUAGUAAUCGCAGGUCAGCAUACUGCGGUGAAUACGUUCCCGGGUCUUGUACACACCGCCCGUCACACCAUGGGAGUGGGGGAUACCAG
rnacentral:rRNA from 1 species